rnacentral:rRNA from 1 species
GAUGAACGCUGACAGAAUGCUUAACACAUGCAAGUCAACUUGAACUUCGGUUUGGGUGGCGGACGGGUGAGUAACGCGUAAAGAACUUGCCUGACAGUUAGGGACAACAUACGGAAACGAAUGCUAAUACCUGAUAUUCUGAUUCUAGGGCAUCCUAGGAUUAUGAAAGCUAUAUGCGCUGUGUGAGAGCUUUGCGUCCCAUUGGCUAGUUGGAGAGGUAACGGCUAACCAGGGCGAUGAUGGUUAGCCGCCCGGGGAGGGUGAUCGGCCACAAGGGGACUGAGACACGGCCCUUACCCCUACGGGAGGCAGCGGGGGGGAAUAUUGGACAAGGGACCAAGAGUCUGAUACAGCAAUUCUGUGUGCACGAUGAAGUUUUUCGGAAUGUAAAGUGUUUUCAGUUGGGGAGAAAAAAAUGACGGUACCGACAGAAGAAGUGACGGCUAAAUACGUG